rnacentral:rRNA from 1 species
AUUGAACGCUGGCGGCAGGCUUAACACAUGCAAGUCGAGCGGUAACAGGGGGUGCUUGCACCCCGCUGACGAGCGGCGGACGGGUGAGUAAUGCUUAGGAAUCUGCCCAGUAGUGGGGGAUAGCCCGGGGAAACCCGGAUUAAUACCGCAUACGUCCUACGGGAGAAAGCAGGGGAUCUUCGGACCUUGCGCUAUUGGAUGAGCCUAAGUCGGAUUAGCUAGUUGGUGGGGUAAAGGCCUACCAAGGCGACGAUCCGUAGCUGGUCUGAGAGGAUGAUCAGCCACAUCGGGACUGAGACACGGCCCGAACUCCUACGGGAGGCAGCAGUGGGGAAUAUUGGACAAUGGGGGCAACCCUGAUCCAGCCAUGCCGCGUGUGUGAAGAAGGCUUUCGGGUUGUAAAGCACUUUCAGUGAGGAGGAAAACCUUACGGUUAAUAACCGUGAGGCUUGACGUUACUCACAGAAGAAGCACCGGCUAACUCCGUGCCAGCAGCCGCGGUAAUACGGAGGGUGCAAGCGUUAAUCGGAAUUACUGGGCGUAAAGCGCGCGUAGGUGGUUCGAUAAGCGGGAUGUG